UCCGGUUUGUCACCGGCAGUCUCCUUAGAGUGCCCACCAUGACGUGCUGGUAACUAAGGACAAGGGUUGCGCUCGUUACGGGACUUAACCCAACAUCUCACGACACGAGCUGACGACAGCCAUGCAGCACCUGUGUUACGGUUCUCUUUCGAGCACUAAGCCAUCUCUGGCAAAUUCCGUACAUGUCAAAGGUGGGUAAGGUUUUUCGCGUUGCAUCGAAUUAAACCACAUCAUCCACCGCUUGUGCGGGUCCCCGUCAAUUCCUUUGAGUUUUAAUCUUGCGACCGUACUCCCCAGGCGGAUAACUUAUCGCGUUAGCUUCGACACGUACGGGGUCAAUACCGCACACAUCUAGUUAUCAUCGUUUACGGCAUGGACUAC
rnacentral:misc_RNA from 1 species